GACGAACGCUGGCGGCGUGCCUAAUACAUGCAAGUAGAACGCACAGUUUAUACCGUAGCUUGCUACACCAUAGACUGUGAGUUGCGAACGGGUGAGUAACGCGUAGGUAACCUGCCUGGUAGCGGGGGAUAACUAUUGGAAACGAUAGCUAAUACCGCAUAAUAUUGAUUAUUGCAUGAUAAUUGAUUGAAAGAUGCUAUUGCAUCACUACCAGAUGGACCUGCGUUGUAUUAGCAAGUAGGUGAGGUAACGGCUCACCUAGGCGACGAUACAUAGCCGACCUGAGAGGGUGAUCGGCCACACUGGGACUGAGACACGGCCCAGACUCCUACGGGAGGCAGCAGUAGGGAAUCUUCGGCAAUGGACGAAAGUCUGACCGAGCAACGCCGCGUGAGUGAAGAAGGGUGUCGGAUCGUAAAGCUCUGUUGUAAGAGAAGAACGGGUGUGAGAGUGGAAAGUUCACACUGUGACGGUAUCUUACCAGAAAGGGACGGCUAACUACGUG
rnacentral:rRNA from 1 species